rnacentral:rRNA from 1 species
GAUGAACGCUGACAGAAUGCUUAACACAUGCAAGUCAACUUGAAUUUGGGUUUUUAACUUCGGUUUGGGUGGCGGACGGGUGAGUAACGCGUAAAGAACUUGCCUCACAGCUAGGGACAACAUUUGGAAACGAAUGCUAAUACCUAAUAUUAUAAUAAUAGGGCAUCCUAUAAUUAUGAAAGCUAUAAGCGCUGUGAGAGAGCUUUGCGUCCCAUUAGCUAGUUGGAGAGGUAACGGCUCACCAAGGCGAUGAUGGGUAGCCGGCCUGAGAGGGUGAUCGGCCACAAGGGGACUGAGACACGGCCCUUACUCCUACGGGAGGCAGCAGUGGGGAAUAUUGGACAAUGGACCGAGAGUCUGAUCCAGCAAUUCUGUGUGCACGAUGAAGUUUUUCGGAAUGUAAAGUGCUUUCAGUUGGGAAGAAACAAAUGACGGUACCAACAGAAGAAGUGACGGCUAAAUACGUG